GGGAGAGAAUGUAAACAGAGCUCACGGCGAGGCUGGGAGUCUGAGACCGCUGGGAGAGGGGACAGAGUGAGAGCGAGAGUGAAUUCCCUUCUCGCUCUUAUAACGGAAAUCAGAGUGAAGCGAAAGUCUUGGAGAGGAGAGAGUGGGUCCAGUGGGAGAGUGUGAGAAGAGAGAACGAGAGGUGUGGGUGUGAGCAUCGGGAGAGAGGAGAGUUCGUGAAAGCAUUGAGAGAGAGAGAGAGAGAGAGGGGUUCGGAAUUUUAAGACUGAAGAAAACGAAAGCUAAGAAGAAGAAGAAGAGGAAAAAAACGAAGAUGCUGGAAGAGUAAGAAGAACACACACACACACACACGCACACACACACACACACGCGAAUUCUUGAAAGUGAAGUACAAAAACAAAAACAAAAAAAUGAUAAAUGAUCUUAAUUUUGCGGAAGAAAUGAACAAAGAAACCAGUCGAGAAUUUGUCACCGAAAAAACUAGCGAUUAAACGCACAUACCAACACACACACACACACACACACACACCUGCUGCUAGUGACCCACCUUGACCUGUGUUUGGGUCAUUAAGGGGUCACCUCAUCUCAUCUCUCAGGACCACCAGCGGCAAGAGCCAUGAGUGCCGCACGGUGCUUGGGGUGCCUGGUUCUGCACCACCUGCCUCACACCCGCCACCCCCCUCACCGGGCACUCACCCCUUUGCUGGGCGGCCGUGGCACAGUGCACUCCCCACUUAGACUGUGGCUGGUGCCAGACAAGCGGUGGAAUGCCUCAGUGUCAUGGGUGUUGCCGCAGGGCCACGAGACCGGCAUCAACAUAUAUAACAGCACCACUAAGACUAAGGUACCACUGAGGACACACCACCCCGGCCUUCUCACCUGGUACAAUUGUGGCCCCACAGUGUACGACUCGGCACACAUCGGUCAUGCUUUAUCAUACAUCAAGAUUGACAUUAUACGGCGAAUCAUGACCCGCGUUUUUGAUCUCAAUGUUAUUAUGGUCAUGGGCAUCACCGACAUCGACGACAAGAUUAUCCGACGAUCCCAGGAGCUCCAGGUCAGCUUCCGAGAGAUCACUGAACAUUACGAGCAAGAGUUCUUCAAUGAUAUGGACAGACUGAGGGUGUGGCGGCCGUCCCUGGCGCCGAGGGUCACCGAACACGUACCACACAUCAUUGCCUUCACGCAGGGCAUCCUUGACCGUGGCCUGGCAUAUGUUGCGGUUGAUGGCUCUGUAUACUUCAACACGGGUGCAUACGGUCGUUAUGGCAAGCUGUUUCCAGUACAUGAGGAGGAGGCGACAGCGGCGGCAACAGCGACAGCGGCGGCAGCAGUGAUAAAGAAAUCUCCAAGGGACUUUGCUCUGUGGAAGUUGGCCAAGAAGGGAGAGCCGUCCUGGCCAUCCCCCUGGGGCCGCGGCAGACCAGGCUGGCAUAUAGAGUGCUCAGCGAUGGCCAGCCACAUACUGGGGGUGCCGCUGGAUGUGCAUGGGGGAGGGAUAGACCUGCGCUUCCCCCACCAUGAGAACGAGGAGGCCCAGUGCUGUGCCUUCCACGAUACCCAGCAGUGGUGUAACUAUUGGCUGCAUGUAGGUCACCUCCACACCCGCAGAGAGAAGAUGUCCAAGUCCUUAUAUAACACCAUCAGCGUGGAAGCCCUCCUGCAGCAACACUCUGUCAACACCUUCCGCCUAUUCUGUCUUCUCUCCCACUACAGAAACAACGUGGAGUUCGGCCCCACCUCCCUUGACCAAGCAAAGGUGUACAUGCGAAAGAUCCGGUCCUUCCUUCACGACGCGUACGCCUACAUCAAUGGACAGCUGAAGUGUGCCCCCCUCGACGAGUCUGCGCUCAAGAUGAAACUUGUUGAAACGCGUGCCAGAGUGAGACGCUCCCUGGCUGAUGACUUCGAUACGGCCAGGGCAGUAGAGGCAGUGAUGGACCUGAUCACUCUUGGCAACAGAGAGCUCAAGAAACAGUCCCAGGGCACCAGUUUGGACAGGAGCGCUGGCAGUAUGGCCGCUAUCUGUAGCUACAUACACUACUUAAUGGAGGAGGUUUUUGGCAUUCAUUUCCCGAGUGUGUCUGGUACACCUGGUAUGACCUCCUCCAUGCCAGUGACUGCCUUGAUCUCUGGUGGUUUGCCUCUCCUCAUGCAGUGGGUAGUACCUGUGCCAGCAAUACCUUGUGUUUGAUGCCACUCAGACAACUGCAGGCUGCUACACAGUCUGUCUACACUUAUUACCACACCACUAAGGUCCACAAAUUCUUGUAUCUGACUCACAAGAACCUUCACUGUUGGAAGUGAGCCAUGGAUGCAGUGGGGUCCAGGGUUAGGUUAGGUUAGGUUAGGUUUACCUGAGUAUACUGUUGUCCUGAAAGUAAAUUACCGUGUUCACAAAUAAAUACAAGAGGCCAUGUCGUUUAGGUGUGCUCUUAUUGUACAGCCUGAAUCCAGUUUGAUUUCUACAAAAAUAUAAAACUUCGUCAGUGGUCAAGAAGUCACCUGGCUGCAACACUGAACAGGCAUGGCCAUUAAAAAAAAAAAUAAAUAAAUAAAAAAUAAAAAAUAAAUAAAUAAAUAAAUAAAUAAAUAAAAAAAAUAAAAAAAAGAUCCCUGACUACAGCAAACCAGCCAUGUGGCCAUCUCUGUCUGGUGUCAGCGUUGUCAAAAAUUAGGUUUGCAUGUGAAAAUCUACCCUUAGAACCUUAAAAACA